GGCCGGGACAGCGUCUCAAUUUGCACUGGAUCCGCAGGGUUGUGGAAGUCAAUGAUGUGAUGCCCCUGACCUGGAAUCAAAGAGGGUGCCGUCCAUCAAGGAGCCGUUGUAGUGGACACAUGCCUAGAAGCCCCUGGUCCAUGCCCUUAAUCAGCCAACCAGAGCCAACGUAGGUGUCGUAAGUGCCAUCCCUACUGUAGCUGCAAAGAGUGAGGCAGAGGUGGUGUUGCUGGAGGUGGGCAAGGCAGGA